rfam:Desulfitobacterium hafniense Y51 DNA, complete genome.
GAGAGCCGUGUGCAUCGAGAGGUGCAAGCACGGUUCGGGGGCGAGUGUUCGGAAACCUGCCAUAGGAAUAUGGUAAGGCGCUGGGCACUUAGCCCAC